GACGAACGCUGGCGGCGUGCUUAACACAUGCAAGUCGAACGGAAAGGCCCUGCUUUUGUGGGGUGCUCGAGUGGCGAACGGGUGAGUAACACGUGAGUAACCUGCCCUUGACUUUGGGAUAACUUCAGGAAACUGGGGCUAAUACCGGAUAGGAGCUCCUGCUGCAUGGUGGGGGUUGGAAAGUUUCGGCGGUUGGGGAUGGACUCGCGGCUUAUCAGCUUGUUGGUGGGGUAGUGGCUUACCAAGGCUUUGACGGGUAGCCGGCCUGAGAGGGUGACCGGCCAAAUUGGGACUGAGAUACGGGCCCGAAUCCUACGGGAGGCAGCAGUGGGGAAUAUUGCACAAUGGGCGGAAGCCUGAUGCAGCAACGCCGCGUGCGGGAUGACGGCCUUCGGGUUGUAAACCGCUUUCGCCUGUGACGAAGCGUGAGUGACGGUAAUGGGUAAAGAAGCACCGGCUAACUACGUG
rnacentral:rRNA from 1 species